rnacentral:sRNA from 1 species
GGAAAGCUUUCAGCUUUAAGCCAGUUAUUAAAACCCCUUUUGAUUUGUUAAAACAUCUUGCGGUCUGGCAACUGCAAAAGUUCAACAAGAAAUCAAAAG